rnacentral:tRNA from 1 species
GGUGCUGUGGCGCAGAGGGUUAAUGCCCUGGCCUGACGUGCCGGCAUCCCAUAUGGGCACGGGUUCGAGUCCUGUCUGCUCCA